GACGAACGCUGGCGGCGUGCUUAACACAUGCAAGUCGAACGGAAAGGCCCUGCUUUUGUGGGGUGCUCGAGUGGCGAACGGGUGAGUAACACGUGAGUAACCUGCCCUUGACUUUGGGAUAACUUCAGGAAACUGGGGCUAAUACCGGAUAGGAGCUCCUGCUGCAUGGUGGGGGUUGGAAAGUUUCGGCGGUUGGGGAUGGACUCGCGGCUUAUCAGCUUGUUGGUGGGGUAGUGGCUUACCAAGGCUUUGACGGGUAGCCGGCCUGAGAGGGUGACCGGCCACAUUGGGACUGAGAUACGGACCAGACUCCUACGGGAGGCAGCAGUGGGGAAUAUUGCACAAUGGGCGGAAGCCUGAUGCAGCAACGCCGCGUGCGGGAUGACGGCCUUCGGGUUGUAAACCGCUUUCGCCUGCGACGAAGCGUGAGUGACGGUAAUGGGUAAAGAAGCACCGGCUAACUACGUG
rnacentral:rRNA from 1 species